GUUCCGGUACGAUCACCGAAGUUAAGCAACGUCGAUUCUGGUUAAUACCUAGAUGGGUGACCGCUUGGGAAUAUCAGGUGCUGUAA